GACGAACGCUGGCGGCGUGCUUAACACAUGCAAGUCGAACGGAAAGGCCCUGCUUUUGUGGGGUGCUCGAGUGGCGAACGGGUGAGUAACACGUGAGUAACCUGCCCUUGACUGUGGGAUAACUUCAGGAAACUGGGGCUAAUAUCGGAUAGGAGCGCCGGCGGCAUGGGGGGGGUUGGAAAGUUUCGGCGGUUGGGGAUGGACUCGCGGCUUAUCAGCUUGUUGGUGGGGUAGUGGCUUACCACGGCUUCGACGGGUAGCCGGCCUGAGAGGGUGACCGGCCACAUUGGGCCUGAGAUACGGCCCAGACUCCUACGGGAGGCAGCAGUGGGGGAUAUUGCACAAUGGGCGGAAGCCUGAUGCAGCAACGCCGCGUGCGGGAUGACGGCCUUCGGGUUGUAAACCGCUUUCGCCUGUGACGAAGCGUGAGUGACGGUAAUGGGUAAAGAAGCACCGGCUAACUACGUG
rnacentral:rRNA from 1 species